rnacentral:rRNA from 1 species
AACGAACGCUGGCGGCGUGGAUAAGACAUGCAAGUCGAACGGGACAGACCGAGUAGCAAUAUUUGGAAUGUUCAGUGGCGGACGGGUGCGUAACACGUGGAUAACAUUCCGGAAAGCGGGGAAUAGCCCAGGGAAACUUGGAUUAAUACCGCAUGUGGCCGCAAGGCUAAAGACGGGGACCGCAAGGCCUGUCACUUUCCGAUUGGUCCGCGGCCUAUCAGCUAGUUGGCGGGGUAAUGGCCCACCAAGGCUACGACGGGUAGCUGGGCAUAGAGGACGACCAGCCACACUGGAACUGAGACACGGUGCAGACACCUACGGGUGGCAGCAGUCGAGAAUCUUUCACAAUGGGGGCAACCCUGAUGGAGCGACGCCGCGUGGAGGAUAAGGUCUUCGGAUUGUAAACUCCUGUCAUGCGAGAACAAGGUACACAGGCUAAUAACCUGAUUGUUUGAUGGUUCCGCAAGAGGAAGAGACGGCUAACUCUGUGCCAGCCGCCGCCGUAAAAC